GCGAACGGGUGAGUAACACGUGGGCAAUCUGCCCUGCACUCUGGGACAAGCCCUGGAAACGGGGUCUAAUACCGGAUACGACCUUCCUCUGCAUGGGGGUUGGUGGAAAGCUCCGGCGGUGCAGGAUGAGCCCGCGGCCUAUCAGCUUGUUGGUGGGGUAAUGGCCUACCAAGGCGACGACGGGUAGCCGGCCUGAGAGGGCGACCGGCCACACUGGGACUGAGACACGGCCCAGACUCCUACGGGAGGCAGCAGUGGGGAAUAUUGCACAAUGGGCGAAAGCCUGAUGCAGCGACGCCGCGUGAGGGAUGACGGCCUUCGGGUUGUAAACCUCUUUCAGCAGGGAAGAAGCGAAAGUGACGGUACCUGCAGAAGAAGCACCGGCUAACUACGUGCCAGCAGCCGCGGUAAUACGUAGGGUGCGAGCGUUGUCCGGAAUUAUUGGGCGUAAAGAGCUCGUAGGCGGCCUGUCACGUCGGUUGUGAAAGCCCGGGGCUUAACCCCGGGUCUGCAGUCGAUACGGGCAGGCUAGAGUUCGGUAGGGGAGAUCGGAAUUCCUGGUGUAGCGGUGAAAUGCGCAGAUAUCAGGAGGAACACCGGUGGCGAAGGCGGAUCUCUGGGCCGAUACUGACGCUGAGGA
rnacentral:rRNA from 1 species